AGAAUUCUCAACAAGUCAUUGUAUAGGGAAAUAACUUGGAUAAUCUGCUUCCUGUGAAAACAGCCUGCAAGCAUGAAAAGCGGGUAACUUAUGACAAAGUGAAGAACACCAGACGGUAUGUUUAAAAACUGCUGUUAUCUCAUCCGGACUGGUAGAUUAAUCUGACACAUCUUGUACACUGAUCAUCAACAACAUUAAAACCACGGACAGGUUUUCUGAUAUUUAUUAUAUACCGUGUUUCCCCGAAAAUAAACCCUACCCCGAAAAUAAGCCCUAGUCGGAUUUUCGGGGUGGGCUGCAAUAUAAGCCCUACCCCGAAAAUAAGACCUAGGCAUUGCACCUUUGCGGCGAGACUUCCUUCUUCUACUGUAGGAGGAGCGUUGCGGGCCGCGGCAUCACGCAACGUGAUGACGACAUUUCGCAGCGCCGUCAGUCUGCCUUCACGGAUCUUCAGCGGAAGGAUCCAUUUCCGGGCGGUGAGGCACCCAGUGGUCGGACUCGGCAAGGAAUCUUUGAAAUGUGAGUACCGGUAGAUAUUUUAUGUCUGGGACUGAAUUAAAGGGGGCGGGGGUGAAUUAAUUAAAGGGAGGGUGAAUUAAUUAAAGGGUGGGCUGGAUUAACUAGAGGGGGGUAAAUUAAUUAAAGGGGUGGUGAAUUAAUUAAAGGGUGGGCUGGAUUAAUUAGAGGGGGGUGAAUUAAAGGGGUGGUGAAUUAAUUAAAGGGUGGGCUGGAUUAAUUAGAGGGUGGUGAAUUAAUUAAAGGGGGGUGAAUUAAUUAAAUGGUGGACUGGAUUAAUUAGAGGGGGUGAAUUAAUUAAAGGGGUGGUGAAUUAAUUAAAGGGUGGGCUGGAUUAAUUAGAGGGGGGUGAAUUAAUUAAAGGGGGUGAAUUAAUUAAAGGGUGGGCUGUAUUAAUUAGAGGGGGUGAAUUAAUUAAAGGGUGGUGAAUUAAUUAAAUGGGUGGUGAAUUAAUUAAAGGGUGGGCUGGAUUAAUUAGAGGGGGUGAUUAAUUAGAAUUAAAGGGGGGUGGAUUAAUUAAAGGGGGUUGAAUUAAGGGGGGUGGAUUAAUUAAAGGGGGUGAAUUAAAGGGGUGGUGAAUUAAUUAGAGGGGGUGGAUUAAUUAGAGGGGGUGGAUUUAUUAAAGGGGGGGUGGAUUAAUUAGACAGUAUGGUAUUUUGAUCCCCAGACAAGAUGAGUGCAAAGAGAAAGAGCUGUACAUACUGGUAACGUAAAUAAAUAAGCCCUACCCUGAAAAUAAGCACUAGUGUGUUUUUUGUGACUAAAAUUAAUAUAAGACCCGGUCUUAUUUUCGGAGAAACACGGUAGUUAUAUGGCAUCAGUAAGGGGGUGGGAUAUAUUAGGCAGCAAGUGAACGGUCAGUUCUUGAAUUUCAUAUGUUGGAGGCAGGAAAAAAAAAAAUCGGCAAAUAAAAUGGUCUGUGUGACUUUGACAAGGGCAAAAUUGUGAUAGCUAAUCAACUGGGUCAGAGCAUCUCCAAAGCGGCAAGUCUUGUGGGGUGUUCCCGGUAUGCAGUGGUAAAUAGAAGGAUAACCAGUUAACUGGCAUCAGGGUCAUGGGUGCCCAAGGCUCAUUGAUGCACAUGGGGAGUGUAACGGAUCGACAGGCACCCCGACUGGGUACCUCCGUUGAAGGAUGCUCCUAGCGCUUCCAAAGGGCUCCAAGCACUCCAGCAGACACCAUAACCACCGUAGACUCCUCCAGAGAGCAAGGCAGGAACAAGCUCUUACAAGAGCUUAGUAGUGAUUUAGCAAGGGAGUAUGACAAGCAUAGCAAUCCUUUGUAGCAGAUUCCCACAAUAACAGACGGCACUCCAACUUGAGGGUGAAGUAGAACUGAAGCUUUUAAUCAAACACUCUGCUUUUAUGCACAUUUUACACACAUCGUACUGACCACAGGGUUUUGCAGAACAACCAAUCAAUACGUACAAUACACUCAGACACUCCCACACAAAAUCCUACCCUCUGCCUGUGAUAUAAUUACUGAACACAAUGGUCUAAUGUAAUUAUCACAGGCAGGAAAAUACACAGUUUUACACAAUAUUCAUAACUCUAAAAGUAUACAUCACAUUCACAUAAAACUUACAUUUUCAGAAUCAUACUCCAAAUACAAACAUACGUCAAAAUCAUACAAAUUGGUCCAGUGGGUCAAAAGUUAGUUGGAAAUCCCUUUGUGACCGCCUGGAGGCAUGACUUGGGUGUGGUAAGCCAAUUACCUCCAACAUUCAGAAAAUAUCUCUAUUCACAACAACAGUAAUACUUAACAGAACCCCCACAUUCAACCUAUCCCCAAAUUUCUUGGAUCUGAGCGCUACAGUGCUCACAUACCACAAACACAGUCAAAUCACCAUGGGGUUAAACCAUAGCAACAAGUUCCAACUGGUCUGGCAGUGUUCCUGGGACAAUGCCCUGCUGGAGAACAAUAGACAGGAAACGGGGGAGGGGCACACCUCAUGUAUUCAAAGGGGCAGAAAAGGUGUUUCAAAAUCCAAUAGGCCCAAAUAAUGUCUUUAAAGGGCAUAGUCACAUGGUAGGAGGCCAUAGUCACAUGGCAGGAGACUGGCAAUCCGUCUUCUCCAAUGCCCAGUGGCGAGGUCGGUUUCGCCACAUUUCUCCCCUUUCCCAAAAAGACUAACAAGGUAUCUGACCUCCUGUCGGUCAGUGCCUUGGUUAGUCCAGCAAGCCACCCACAAAACAUAAUCAACAGAGUGGCCCACCCACAAGAAUUGGUUACUGCACCUGGGGUAGUGGGUAGCUUGUCCAUGUCCAGGGGCUCCACCAUGGCUCUGGGGUGGGUUGCUAAGUGGGCAGAGACCAGCGGUACUCUGCCCUGGUGCCAGCGCUACCACGGGAGUAGCCGGGUUGGAGCCCAGCUGAGGAGAAGGGUUAGUAGGCUCCUCCCUCUGGACCUGGUGUUGCUGCUGGAGGGGAAGACAGCCUGUUUCCCCUUUGGAUAAACAGCCCUGCUGCUGGGGGACAGGACCGGCUAUCACUGAGAGCCCAUGCGGGAGGAAACAGAGGGAGUCAGUAUGGGAACUCUGACUCCCAUCAACCUGAGCCACCACUGGACCCCAGGGAAAGUCACCCUCCUGCUCCUAAAAGGUAGGAAACAGGAGGGUGACUUAAAUAUUGUGUGUGUGUAUGUGUCUUUGUGUGUGUGUCUGUAUGUGUAUGUGUGUGUGUGUGUAUGUGUCUGUGUGCCUGUCUGUUUGUAUGUAUGUGUAUUUGUAUGUAUGUGUGUCUGUCUUUGUAUGUCUGUAUCUAUGUCUGUAUGUGUCUUUGUAUGUGUGUGUUGUGUGUGUGCGUGUCUGUAUGUAUAUGUCUGUCUGUUUGUAUGUAUGUGUGUCUGUCUGUCUGUAUGUGUGUGCGCCUGUCUGUAUGUGUGUCUGUCUGUCUCAGUAUGUAUGCCUGUCUGUAUGUAUGUGUCUUUGUAUGUGUGUGUGUGUGUGUGUGUCGUUCCUGUAUGUGUCUGUAUGUAUGUAUGCCUGUGUUUGUAUUUGUCUGUGUGUAUAUAUCUGUCUGUCUGUAUCUGUGUGUGCAUGUGUGCGUGUGUGUCUGUGUGUGUGUCUGUCUGUCGGGGGAGGGAGUGAGGGGAAGAGGGAGGGGGCCCACGGGAAGGGAGUGAGGGGAAGAGGGAGGGGGCCCACGGAUCGGUUUCGCACCGGGGCUCCAUGGAUUGUGUGUACACCACUGCUUUAGUGGGGUAUGAGCAUCAGGACUGGACUGUGGAGCAAUGGAAGAAGAUUGCUUGGUUUGAUGAAUCAUGUUUUCUUUUAGAUCAGGUGGAUGGCUGGGUGCGUGUACCUGGGAAAGAGAUGGCAGCAGAAUGCACUAUGGGAAGAUGGUAGGACAACGGAAAUAGUGUUCAGCUUUGGGCAAUGUCCUACUGAGAAAUCUUGGGUGUUGGCAUUUAUGUGGAUGUUACUUUGGCACAUACCACCUACCUAGAGAUUGUUGCAGACCACAUUCACCUCUUCAUAGCAAUGGCGUUCCCUAGGCGGUGGCGGUGUCCUCUUUCAGCAGGAUAAUGCAUCCUGCCACACUGCAAAAAUUGUUCAGGAAUGGUUGAAGGAACAUGGCAAAGAGUUCAAAGCAUUGCCUUAGCUUUCAUAUUCCCCAGACCUCAAUCCGAUUGAGUACCUGGGGGAUAUGCUGGAACAACAAAUCCGAUCUAUGGAGGUCCAAACUUGCAGGACUUAAAGGAUCUACUACUAACGUCUCAUUGUCAGAUAGAGGCAUCAGAGCUGUUUUGGCAAAACGAGGGGGACUUACAAGAUGGUGGUUUUAAUGGUGUGGCUGAUCAGUGUAUAUGGUAACCGAGUUCGUUAAGGCAAUACUCUAUACACUAUAACCACUACAGCUAUGAGUCUUUAGAUUUUUCAGUUUUCUUCACAUAAUGUUCGAGCAAUUUCCAACUGAUAAAUAAUAUUUGAGCACUAAGACAAGAAGUGUAGACUAAACUGUAAGCUUGUCUGAGCAGGGGCCUCAUCUUGUCAGGAUUACAGUAUGAUCGAGCACAUAGAAUUGUGUAACACAGAGGACUGAUAGGUAACGUAUACAGGACCUUAGAUUGGCCGGACUAACGUACCAAAGAAUAGUCAGGAAUAGCCGAGGUCAAGGGAUACAGAAAGAGACAACAAUAAGGAAAAGCCAGGGGUCAGGGAUGCCAGAAAACAGGGUAAAAAACAAUGCCAAAGUCAAAUAACCAGAAUUACCAGCGCUCUCGGACAACCACAAGGGAAACCACGAAAGGACACUGAGCAGGAUGAAAACUGUGCCUAAAUCUGAUCCUUUGACCCCAAAGGCAGUUACCAGUUUCCCAUUUGCAUAAUUGCUGCUCAGCACAAACCCCCAUGUGGAUUGGAUUGCUGCUCGGCACAACUUUUCCUAUCAGGACAGUAAUAUUGUUCGGCACAACUUUUCCUGUCUGAACAGUAAAUUCCAUUAAUCACAUUUUUAUAAGCGGAUGAAUACAUGACAUUACCCCCCCACCUGAAGAAUGCCCACCAGGCGGGCAGGACCAGGCGUGAGAGGAAAUUUGGCAUGAAAAUAGUUUAUCUUGCGGCCAGCAUGUAUAUCAGAUGCCGGAACCCAAGAUCGAUUGGCCGGUCCAUAACCUUUCCAAUCCACCAAGUACUGCAAAGUGCCCCGGGAAAACCUGGAAUCAAUUAUGGAAGAGACCUCAUACUCUUCCUGUCCAGAAACAACCAAGGGAGGAGGAGGGACACUUGGGACAGUAUACUUAUUGCAAAUAAGAGGUUUGAGUAAGGAGACAUGAAAUGUGUUAGGAAUUUUCAAUGAGGCCGGAAGGGCCAGAGAGUAUGAAACGGGAUUGAGUCUUCUAAGGACACGAAAAAGCCCAAUAAACCUGGGAGCAAAUUUCAUGCUAGGGACUUUAAGCCUAAUGUUGCAUGACGAUAACCAAACCGUCUCACCCAACCCUGGUAAACAGGGUUGGCACUUCGCCGUUUAUCAGCAUAAUGCUUGAAACGGUCAGCAGCAGUCCCCAGUGCGGAGUGAACUUUGACCCAGGUAUCACGAAUAGAAGCAAGACGGUCAUCCAAAGCAGGAAUAGCCGUGUCAGAAAAAACAGCCGGGAGGACAGUAGGAUGUUGGCCAUUAUUAACAAAAAAUGGACUAUAUCCAGAGGAGUCAUGGUCUACAUUGUUCCUAGCAAACUCGGCCCAUGGUAGUAAUUCGGACCAAGUGUCUUGAGUGCUAUUAAUGAAAAAACUCAUAUAUAAUUCCAAGGACUGGUUAGCCCUCUCAGCUGUACCAUUAGUCUAGGGGUGGUAAGAGGAUGAAAAAGACAAUUCAAUCGCCACAAGGGAGUUUAUGAGUUACUUUAGAAACCGCACAUACAGAACAGGCCUGCACAUACUGCUUAACAUCCUUCCUGAAGGAAUCCCACCAAAAUGAUCUCAUGAUAGCAGAAAUGGACUUAUUAAUAUUCGGGUGGCCGGAAGAUACGUUGUCGUUUAACACCUUCAUGAUAAUAACCCUUUCCCCCAAUGGAACGAACAAUCUGUCCUGAGGUUUACCGCAGGGCGUCUGCGACUGAGCCUCCAUGAUGAAACCAAGCAGCGGAGAGGACAAUGAAAGGAUAGUGGAAGCAAUGAUACAUUCCGGGGGAAUGAUAUGGGACUUGCUCUUGUAUAGACUCAGUAUCAAACUGUCUGGAUAAGGUGUCGGCCUUGACAUUCUUAGAACCAGGUCUAUAAGUAAUAAGAAAAUUAAAGCGAGAAAGAAACAGAGACCACCUAGCUUGUCUAGAAGACAAUUGUUUAGCGUCUCCUAUGUAAGCCAGGUUUUUGUGAUCAGUAAUGAUUAAAAGGGGUCCUUGGAACCCUCUAAAAGAUGUCGCCACUCCUUGAGAGUUAGAAUAAUGGCCAACAAUUCCCUAAUGCCAAUAUCAUAAUUGCGCUUGGCAGGCGACAACUUUCUAGAGAAGUAACCACAAGGAUGUAAUGGAGUAUCCUGGCUCUCCCUCUGGGAGAGAACUGCCCCUACCCCUGUCUCUGAAGCAUCAACCUCCAGUAUGAAAGGUUUACUGGUGUCAGGAUAUAUCAAUAUGUCGGCAGUGGCAAACCGCUGUUUGAGAGUUUCAAAUGCUUCUAUAGCCUCCUUAGACCAUAUCGUACUGCUAAACCCCUUGCGUGUCAUAUUGGUGAUGGGGGCUAUUACUGAAGAAAAUCCCUUUAUAAACUUUCUGUAAUAAUUGGCUAAACCAAUGAACCUUUGAAUGGCUUUCAACCCAGUGGGUAAAGGCCACUGUAGAACCGAUUCCAACUUUUUAGAAUCCAUCUGAAACCCUGAGGCAGAGAUAUUAUUUUCUAAAAACUGUACUUUAGAUUGGUCAAAGAUACAUUUUUCCAAUUUACAAUAAAGUUGAUUUUUUAACAAAGUAUGCAGAACUUGUCUCACGUGAUCGUGGUGAGUCUGAAUGUCAGGAGAAUAAAUAAGGAUAUCAUCCAGACAGACCAAGACAAGCAAGUAAAUGUAAUCCCUGAGUACAUAAUUUAUGAAAUCUUGGAGCUUUGCACAACCCGAAUGGCAUCACUAGAUAUUCAUAGUGUCCACUUCUGGUAUUAAAUGCAGUCUUCCGAGGGGGGCGGAGCCAGCACCCGAGCAGGAUAGUCGCACAGCACUACUGCUCCGUGCACCGAGCCGAAAAACGCUGCCCAGAGACGAUAAACACCGGCUCACCGGCGCACCAAAGAGAGCACGGCCUCCCUGUAUCAUGGGGAAGAAAACCAAAAAACAGAGGGCAGAUCCGAGCACAGGAUCUGGAGAUAUCGGGGAUUUCUCCGCCCAAUCCUCGGACAAGGAUAACCACUACAAUGAACCCUCCAUACUGAGCCGAGGGUGGCAGGCACCUCGGGGACCCCAGGAACAGGGAGACUCAGCAACCGCCACCAAAGCGGAUAUCAAAGCCCUGGUUAAAGAAAUCAAGACCAUGUUUCAGGCGGAUAUGGCACUGGUGAGGGAGGAUAUUGCUGCGCUAACCAACAGGGUGGCAGCAGUGGAGGAGGGCGCAAAAGGUACAACGCUGGCGCAAAAUGCCACAGAUGCCGCAUUGAACGCCCUGCGCAAGUGUGCCGACCAGCAAGCACAACUGGCGGACAUGGAAGACAGGCAGAAGACGCAGAACCUGAGGGUCCGGGGAAUACCGGAAACAAUCUCUGGCACUGAACUGCCACAUUUCUGCCGACGGCUCAUAGCCACGCUGUUGACACCACGGCAAGCGAAGCAGGUAAUGAUCGAUUCCUGCUUCAGGCUCUCCAGGGCGACCUCUACGCCACGAGAAGGAGCAAGCGAUGUCCUGAUACAAUUUGACUCUGACCGAGGAAUACUUAUGGGAGCUACAAGAGACUCUCCCACAGUGCCGUUUGAAGGGGCACAACUAGCAUUUUACAGAGACUAUUCAAGACACACUAUACAAUGGAGGAAAUCUUUCCGUCAGGUUACACAACUACUACGGAAUCAAGUCACCCCCUACAAGUGGGGCCCACGCAGACUACAGGCGGACAAGGCAGGCAUGACACACAAGCUAUCACACACUUCUGAAAUACCGGCAUUCCUCUGAGCAUUGGGCAUACCGGCGCAGGCAGCACAAGAAACAGCCCGACCACCUUGGACUGUGGCAGAUAUAACCCCCUUCAUGCCCAGAGGAAGAGGGCCCGCAAGUUGCUGCCCUGCCUACCUGAUACAGUUGCAGCCAUGCAAGUUCCAUGUAUUUCUACCUGUAGACAACAGGAGCACUAACAGUACCUGGGACUGUUAAUCCCCCUCCCUAGAUAACUUCCUCCCACUGGCUCCGUAAGCUACAGCUCAGGUUCUAUGACCAAGUUACCCCCCCCCCCCUUCUUUAAUUUAUAUUAUUUUGAGGGUACAAAGCUGAGUUCAUAUUGCUCACAUUCGGUAAGCGAAUACAGCCUUUUUUACGCAAUUAUAGCACUAAGCCCUAUGCCCAGGUCCAUCAGCACCCAUGCCAGCUACCCACACAUUUACACGUGCCUUAGGCCCAAGCCACAUAUACCAUGCCACCACUAAGCCUAUGGGCACCCACAGCACUAACCGAGCACCACCAGCAGAUCACCCUCCCAGAUGUGCCAUUCGUUAAUGCCACAUGUAAAUAUACACAAACGAGCCUCAGGGCACUCACCGCCAUAGGAAAGGAGCCCCCCAACACAUCACCAACCCCCCGCGGGAGAACAGGCGAGAGAGGGCUGUAAAAGCUAUUAGAAAUAUAAAAAAUGGAUAGUCCCCGCAACAUGAUGAAAUUACUGUGUUGUUUGUUCAUUAUAGUGCCAAACAUGUAAUAUUGUAAACAUCAUGCUUUAUCCACAAAAAUAAAGAAUUUAAAUGCAGUCUUCCACUCAUGGUUUUCUUGAUUCUCACUAAAUUGUAAGCACUUCUAAAGGUCAAGCUUAGUAAACACUUUAGCGCCUUGGAGUCUAUCAAAUAAUUCAGCAUUAAGAGGAAUGGGGUAGGCGUUCUUAAUGGUGAUUUUGAACACCAUUCAAGUGAAGUUUAGACCGGUCAACCAUGAGGCGAAGCCCCAAACAGUUCCAUGUGGUUGUAUGCUUUGACCGGUUUUCACCAUUAAACUACGAAUGCAAAUAUUCAUGAAUUGGGUAGUCGUGUCCCUGGUGUUCAUUCGUUCCAUUCAGACGAAUGCUGCUCCUUAUAGACGAAAAAAAUAAACUUACGAACAGGAUGGAAGUUCAACGGUGUUCGCACGGUCGAAUGUCCGAUUAUAGUUCCACGCACUCGAUGACUAAACACCGCUGUGUGUUUGUGAGCAAAGAUGGCUGCCGCCACAUUUUCGGUCAUACGAACGGCGCCCACCCAUCCGACCACUUAGAACCUUGCGGUUUUCUGGUGUGAAAAUAGUCAAUCGGAGGAACACGACUCCCUUGGGUAGUCUCCCCGUUCGGUGGUCGGUUCGACUGACGAACAAUAUUAUAUAUUCUGUUCGGGAACCUCAAAUAGUCAAACCAACCUCAGACUUUCAUGCAAAUAAGUGGCUAGUUUUGCCACAAAUUGUCAAUAGGAUUUAGGUCUGCUUGGCCAGUCCAUCACCUUUACCUUCAGCUUCUUUAGCAAGGCAGUUCCCUCAAUGAACUGUAGCUCCCCAGUGCCGGCAGCACUCAUGCAGGUCCAGACCAUGACACUCCCACCACCAUACUUGACUGUAGGCAAGAAACAGUUUUGUACUCCUCACCUGGUUGCCGCCACACAUGCUUGACACCAUCUGAACCAAAUAAGUUUAUCUUGGUCUCAUCAGACAACAGGACAUGGUUCCAGUAAUCCAUGUCCUUAGUCUGCUUGUCAUCAGCAAACUGAUUGCGGGCAUUCUUGUGCAUCAUCUUUAGAAGAGGCUUCCUUCUGAGACGACAGCCAUGCAGACCAGUUUGAUUCAGUGUGCAGCAUAUGGUCUGAGCACUGACAGGCUGACCCCCAACCCCUUCAACCUCUGCAGCAAUGCUGGCAGCAUUCAUAUGUCUAUUUCCCAAAGACAACCUCUGGAUAUGAUGCUGAGCGCGUGUACUCAACUUCUUUGACCAAGGCGAGGCCUGAUCUGAGUGGAACCUGUCCUGUGAAACUGCUGUCUGGUCUUGCACGCCGUGCUGCAGCUCAGUUUCAGGGUCUUGGCAUACUUCUUAUAGCCUAGGCCAUCUUUAUGUAGAGCAACAAUUCUUUUUUCAGAUCCUCGGAGAGUUCUUUGCCAUUAGGUGCCAUGUUGAACUUCCAGUGACCAGUAUGAGAGAGUGUGAGAGCGAUAACACCAAAUUUAACACACCUGAGACCUUGUAACACUAAUGAGUCAAAUGACACUGGGAGGGAAAAUGGCUAAUUGGUCCCAAUUUGGGCAUUUCCACUUAGGGUUGUUGUACUCAAUUUUGUUGCCAACGGUUUAGACAUUAAUGGCUGUGUGUUGAGUUAUUUUGAGGGGACAGCAAAUGUACACUAUUAUAGACGCUGUAAACCUACUACUUUACAUUCUAGCAGAGUGUAAUUUCUUCAGUGUUAUCACAUGAAAAGAUAUGAUAAAAUAUUUACAAAAAUGCAAGGGGUGUACUUAAUUUUGUGAGAUACUGUAUAUAUCAAAACAAUACAUGCACACAAUACACUUCAUGCAGUGAUGUAAAAGUGAUUAAAAACAAACAAAACUUCACAAUAUAGAUGGCUUCUUCACAAUCCCAAAGACAGCUAAUACAAAUAAAAUACAAAUAUGUAAGUAUACAGCUAGUCUAAAAAGAAAAUACAUCAAAUAAGUGCAGUGCACCUAGACACUAUUAAAAUGGUGCAAGGAAGUAUAGCACUCACAAUGGUUCUUAAAAGCAAGGCCUUGAGCUAUUUGAAGAGUCACAUCAAAGUCCUUGCUUGAUGGACCCAGAGUAGAGAGAGAAUGCCUCCACUGAAACAAGAAAAUACCAAUAGUAAGGAUGCCAACAGCUUAAAAGAAAUUAUAUAUUUAUUCAUAUGUAAAUAAUAAGCAUAAAAAAGCAAACAAGUACAUAUUGAAUAUAACCGUUGACAGCAAUGAAUGUGACUUCCUCAGCAGCUCCGUUAUAUACAAGCAAUGCACCAGUAUAAAGCACCUGCAGACAUCCCAUUUGUUUGCAACAAAAUACGGGCAGGUUUUGCAGCCAGACUCUUUUAAAAAGGGUUUUUAAAUAUAUUAUCUGUGCCCAUUUCUGGCACGUGGCAUCAUGUGCAAUAUAGUAACUAUAAAAAAUAUAAUAUAUAUCACCUGACAUUGAACAGGGGUGGACAGGCAAGGGGAGGGGCAUGUCAAUGAGCGCAUAGAGGCAUUCGUGCCUGAAAAGGGGGCGUCAGUCUGACGUGUAUUGAUGCCAGGCUGACUCAUAGUCACUUUGGGUUGCCUAUGUCCAUGGCCCUUUGUCUAACGAUGCACUGAACUUACCAGGACAUUUUCUUACUGUGCUCAGACAGGACCCAGGAUGGUGGGAAAUGGCCCCAAAAUCAGAAUGUUGAAAAGUAAAAAUGUACGCACACACGAAUAUGAUAGCUAGUAUCUCCAUUUUGUUAUUCCCCUCUGUUUUUUUCACUAUUUAUCUUUAUAUAGCGAUCCUGCUUUCUUUUAAAACAUAUUUCUAUUAAAAGUUACAUUUUAUUAUUUCUCACUAUUGGGGUUGCUGUUACAGUACAAGAAACCUGCAGGGAUACUAUUUAGAUCUAUUGUGCCCUUAGGGUUUGCUUGCACUCUCUUUUUUCAGUUAUUUUCUAUCUAGGGGUUACCCCCCAUUAACCUUAAGCAACCUGACACACACACACUUUACUUUUUUCUCUAUAGUAACAGGUUUGUAUUACUAAUGCUAUAGCUGUUAUUUAAGAUUGCUAUGUUUUAAAGGAUUUUUUUAUAUCAGCUCUUGUUGUUUAUGGAAGUCAAGGAGAUAAAUCACUGGUUUCUUGUAGUUAACAGGUCUGAUAGUGAGCAAUUUGUUUUAAAGUUAGCGAGUUUCUGUUAUUACCUUUCUCUUGGCUGAGAUAUAAACCAGCAUUGGCUUUUUUAUGAGUAAGAUCUAUAUUUUUUCCAUAGAUAGAGAGUCUGGAAGAUAAGUAUUAUAAGUCUGUUUAUCACUGACGUACAAAGUAUGACACAGGAAUGUGAUAUGUGUUCAAUACAUUACUUUUAUUUUAUUGCUUAUUCCAAAGCAAAAUAAUUGAUUUUCCAUUGAGCAUUUACUGACCACAUUUUAGCGAGUGAAUAUUGGUACUCCCAAGGGGUAUUUAGGGGCAGCACUCGAGCUCCUGACGUGAGUCUCAUGCUUCCAAAGAAUCUUGGGAAAUGCAAUUCUACAAUACUUAUAACCUACUUGUUAAGAAAAGCUGAUCUAUUGCAACAACUGAAGAACAGUGUAAUGCCUGGGAAAUAUUUUAUAUCCGUGAUUGCAUUUUUUGGACACAGACACAAAUUGUGCACGUCAUGAAGUUCCCAAUGCAUGCUUCAACUGAAAUAUAAAUAUAUAACAAUAUAUUUUGUGAAACACUUUCAUUAGAUUCUCUCUGGUGUCAAUGGUGUUUCCACGAUACUGUGCAUGGCAUUGCUCUUCCAAAAAAACUAUUCAUUGUGGCAGUUAUUUGCAUGGGGCCUGGUGAAUAAAAUGUGCCUCUCACAAGCAAUGGUAAGCCCCUGAUAUAACAUGUGGACUAGAUUCUGGGAUUUGAGACAAGGGGUGUUGCUCUACAUAGUAAAAACCCUUAGUGUGUAUUUAUACAGAUUUCUAUCUCAGCUCCAAGGAGCCAAUAAGUAUUAUAAGGUGCCCAGAACGGCCUGGUUUAAAUAUAUUGGAUGCAUUUAUUGUAAACGAUUUUACAGUGUACCAUAAUUUUAAAACAGGAUAUGCCACAUGGAAUUCAUCACGUACAGGGCAUUUACACCCUUUUAAUCUGUACUUUGUGACAGGCAUGAACAAUGUUUAACCAGCCAAACCCUGUAAUUAUAUUCUACCUUACAUUUGGUUAAGUGAUUUUAUUUUUAAUAACAUUGAUUACCCGUGAUAAGGUAAGCCAACCCAAAUAAUGUUGCCUGGGGACAUCAUACUGUUAGUAGUACAGGAAAAGUGUUUCCCAGAAAUUUUCAGCAAUCAUUGCUUCAAGAGGCAACUCGUGUUUUGUUUUUUUUCCUCUUUUUUAUUUUCACUUUUUGUUUUCAUGUACUCCUCUACCAUAUGCAAAAAUGAUAUGGGUCCUGAAAACAUGGCUCUGGGAACUUUAGCCACAAUGGUGAAAAGUAGGGAUGGCAUUAAGUGUCGUACCCACAGUACUGCCCUGCUAGACCACCUCUAGCUCCCUGACAGUCACCGCCAAGUAGGCAUCUCUGUACAUAGAGCACACAGCUGCAGGGAUACCAGUGAAAACUGUCUCUCCUAAGUCUGUGAGGGUGACUAGAAUCUAAGCAUGUCUGCCACAGCUAUAGUGUCUCUGUUGCUCUCAAUGUUGGAGCCUCUAAAGAAACUCCAUAUGUUGCAAGAUAGCAGGGACUCGGCUGAGCCCCGCUUUGCUGACUUAUCAGGCUCCCUCCACUAGAUCCCCAAGGGACUAGCCCCAUCAUCUCCAAGCAAAGGGGAUGGGGGCUCAGAUAAUAUUACAAAAAUAAAAUCAGACACAUACAUAUUUCUUUUUUUGUUUGUGUGUCAUUGAGCAUUGAGUGCCUGUGAGUGUGUCUCUAAGUUUGAGUGAGUGUCCCUGAGAAUGUUUGCAUGAGCUUCUCAGUGUGUCUGUGUUUGUAACGAGUCUGUCUGUGAGUGCUUGUAUUUGAGUGUGUCUCACUCAGACUAUUUGUAAGUGUCUGUUUGUAUGUUUCAGUGUAGUGUAGUGUGGUUUCAGAAUGUCUCUGAUCUUGUGCAGUCUUCUAAUGUGUCUACAAGAGAAUCUGUCAUCUUUUAAUAUUAAAAUGACAUUUUACAAGUAUUUUUAGUUACUCAAAAAAAGUACAAUUUGUACAAUAAAAAACAUUUUUCCUUUUUAACAUUUAUCAGUAAGGAUGGCUUUCUACAUGGAGUGGGAGAUCUAAGUGAAGUAAUGAAAUUAAAAAUUAAUUAUGGCCUAAGUAAUUAUAGGGUAUGUGUGACAUCUCCUAAUCUAUCAUGUUCCUGUGGACACCUAUCCAUGCUGACUGUCAAGGCAUGAACUCUGCUCUUCUCCUGCACUAUAUAUAAUUAAUAAGCUCCAAGAAGGAAAGCAAUCAAACUGUUCCUCUUGGGAUUCUUUUGAGGUUGCUUGAGUCGCAACCUUAAGCUUAUAAAUUCUACACACAGAUAGGCAGCAGUUUUCAUGCCCUGCCCAUCUGCAUGAAUAAGUGAUAGUGUGUCCAUGAAAAGAAGGUCGAUCUGACAACCAAUAUAUAUUGUAUAAGACAUAUGCAUGGUAUUUGAUUCUGAUAACAUUAUAUUAUUAAAGGAACACUAUAGUGUUUGGAAUCCAAAUGUGUAUUCUUAACGCUUUAGUACCCUGAAAGCCAUUUAGGUGACCGACUGACGCCAACAGGGAGAAAAAUAAGUUGUUUUACUUACCUUUUCUUGCUCAUAGCACCAGUCUCUGCAGCUGGUCCCACAUUCUUGGCUGAGAUCAAUGAUCUCAUCCAACCCAAUUGUCCUAUAGUUAUGUUUUUGGAGGCCAAUUUGCAUGCCCUGCUAUUUCCUGGAAAGCACCUCUUGUGGCUGUCUUAGUGGUCCGCCAAUGAUUCUCUUGUCAUAUAGAAUCAUUGGAUGCAAUUAUUCUCUACGACAAGCCGUGACUGCACUGCGCAUGUGUGUGUGAAGUCAGAGUGUGCAUGGAUAUGAGUGCCAGUAAGUAAAACUCCCAACUCUCCUAUCCAGAGGGCUUGGAGGCAAGGCUUAAUGCCACACUUUCAAGCCUUUAGAUGAUUAAAAUAUAGGAAUCUGGAGCCUAACUCUCAGGGGGUGGGGGGAAAGUGAUAAAAUUGUUAAAGUGAGUACAGUGUUCCUUUAAAGGGAGACUAUAGUCAACAAAACAACUGGAUCUGUAGAAGCCUAAUGUAGAAUAUUACAUAUUCUAUGUUCCUAUUCAUAUACAUAUAUGUAUGUACAAUAGGUUAAAAAAAGUUAUGAUGUAAUUUGGCCUAUAAAUGAACAGUAGGCAAAGAACCACGUUCUCUUCUCUCUUGUUUCUGGGUGUGUCCCUGAUACAAAGACGACUACAUCAUAGAUCUCUCUGUAACAUCGUUAAGAAAUACCAUCUGUUAAGUAUAUUAUUAUUGUUUGCUUUUGGAGAAUAAAUGCAUAUUUUUUAUAAAGAACGUCAGGUUGAGUAUUAGUAUUUUUGAUAUAGAUAUAGAUGUAUAUUAACAUGACGAGCCAUUAAUCCGAGAAGUUAAAUACACAAAAGACUUAUUACAAACACCCUGGAACACAUAAAUCAAGAUAUUACACCUUAUGAAGAACUUGUCUUUAAUUCAGUGACUAAGAAUCUCUGCUGGGUGCUCUUAAAGGGUUUCUCCAACCACCAUGACCACUUAAGUGAUUUGAAGUUGUCAUGGUGGUAGACAUCCAUAAGCACUGCACAUACAAGAGAUAUUUUUAUUUUUGUGCUGUGGGCCAAUUGCACCUCCAGCACAUGUAACAUUGACAGCCAAGAAUUCUGUUCUGGGCUGCCAAUGUCAAUUCUGUGCAUAAAAUAAGUCUGUCAUCAGCGCACACUGCUAUCCCCUCCCACCCACAUUGCGCUCCCUACUGCCUUCUUCUGCUGCACUUUUUAUUUUUUUAAAACCCUCCUUCCCGUCACCGGCCCGGAGCACGCACAUACUCUCUGAGUCAGCAAAAUGGUUCAGUCACAGGCUUCUCUAUGAGAAGACUGAUUUGACCGUGCGCAACCCCUGUGAUGUAGGAGGGCGUGAGGAAGAUCAGUUCCAGGAGUUUCGCCAGGUGUUGGCUUCAAGGCAAGUAAAACCUGUUUGUUUUUUUUCCCCAAAUUGCGGGGGUCCAGUAAGGCAUUUCACACAGGAAGCAUAAGGGUUAUAGUAACCCUUUAACCAAUGAAUGAAUCUCUGUGUACAUAAUUAACACUUGCCAUUCAGUAAAUUUUGUUCUAGGCUGACUAAUGAAUGUUGCCAGAAGUGGAGUUAAACAUACAGGAGCAUCAUGAAAUAUCUCAGUAUGUGUGGUAUUUCAUAGUGAAACCGCUGUACAUACAGAUCCAUUGCACCAUGACAACUUCAAGGCACUGAAGUGGUCACGGUGCUUGGAAAAACCCUUUCAUAUUUUUAUUGGGAAUAAAAAUGACUUUUACAGAAAAUCAAAGAUAAUUCAAAGGACUGGCCUUACAUUUUAUUUUAAUAUUAUGGUUUUUUUCAAUAAAUAGCAAGCUGUGGUGAGCUGGUUUAGUAUUUUACCUUGUUUGGGGUUUUUUACAUUCUGUAACAUGGUUGUCCUCUCACAGUUUAGUAAAUAGAGCCGAAGGUAAUUCUAACCAGUAAAUUCCGAGAUAAGAUUUACGAUUUAAAUGAGUAUUUUGGGCAUGACAAAAGUCUCUAGCUCAUUCUUGGAAUCUGAUUAUCAGUGAGAUUAGAUAUCUAUAUUUACAGAAAUCACAGACACAAAUGUAAAUGUCACCUAAAAGUUACAAACUACCCACUCUUAUCCUGGGCUUCCACAUUCCACAUUAUUUACAAACACCCAUCAAAACACCUGUAAAAAAAUCCAUUCUUCUAAUUAUUUAAAAUACAGCGAGAAGUUUAUGUUUUCUGUAGGUGUUCAUAUAUCAACUGCUAGCUUCUAAUGCUUGUCUGUACAUGUGUAAUUCUUCUCCAGAUGGGAUGGUAGGUCUGGGAACCCAAAUCUCCAGGUGAUGUUUCCAGACAAGAGAAGCAUUGAUGUAAUCUUAAAUUGAGGAACUGACUCUAUAUCUUAACUAUGGAGUCUAACAGUGCCAGAAAGCAGGUGGGACAGCUUGUUUAUUGAAAUAAUAAACCCAGAUAGUAGUUACAUUCAGUAAGGGGAAAAAAUACAAAGAUUCCUUAUAUCUCUGCAAAGGCAUGUUUUAAUUUUUUUUUUUGUAAAAUGUGUUUACUUUAGGCUGUUGGUAUGUGAUAGUAUCUGGGAAAAUUUAAAUAAGCUCCCCAAAAAAUAUUUAUGAAAACAAACAAAAAAAACUGUCCAGGAAGAGAAGGUCUAUUUAGCAACCUAGAUAUAUUUGAUAAGACAGAUGCAUGUUAUUUGAUUCUGAUAACAUUAAUGUUAUUAAAGGAACACUAUAACGUUAGGGAUCCAAAUGUGUGUUCAUAAUUCCUGACCCUCUAGGCUAGAGGAAGUUCACAAUGAUAUUGCAAUAGUGUUAAUUCUGAAAUAUCAGUGUUGCAGAGGAGGGGGCGGUCUCUGGAAGGUGAAAAAAACAACAACAACAGGUUUAUAUCAUACAUUGUGUAAUGCGGGCGUCAUUUCUAUAUCUACUAUAUAUCAAAUAAUGUGAUCAAUGAGUGAGUGGUCUCUUUAUGCUAAGAAAAGCCAAGGUUUACAUGAAAUUCUUUCUUAAACCAAGGGACAACACCCAGGCAUUCUAGAAGAAAUAACGAAUAUAGCAAACUGCAUUGGUCAUGUUGCUUAGAGUGUCCCUUUAAGCUGAUUAAAUGAGACAGAUAGAUGGAAAUUCUCUGUUUUUGUUUUGUCCACUGUAGUAUAUGGCUCUACCAGAUAUUCUGUGUGGUGGUUAGCAAGGGACUGGAAAUCAUAACAUAAUUACGUCGAGGCACUCAAGGAUCAGUUAAACAGCAAGUUUAUUAGGAAAAGUGCAAUGUUUCGAUCCCCUAAGGAUCUUUCUCAAGCUCAGCAAAUAAACCUGCUGUUUAACUGAGCCUUGAGUGUCUGGACCACAAUUUUGUUAAACUAUCACAGUAGGAGCAGCCAACCCCACCCGGUUUCUGAUAGGAGUGAGGAAUUCCUCCUUUUGUUUAUAUAUUUGGAAAUCAUAACAUGACAGUGAUUUUGUGACACUGUCAGUUAGUCUUGGAGAACAUCGCCAGGUGCUCCAAACUCCACCAUGUAGGUUUAAGCCAAUCUUGUAUCAACCACAGGUUACAACACAAAACAAAAUGGAUCCUAUACAAAGUGGCCUCAGUCUGUGCUGGAUCGUUUCCACUGCCACAGUGAGUCCAGCAUUAUAUUUAAAAUUGGUUAUUUUCCACAAAAGCAAACAAAGGUGUUUAUUGACUAAACAUGGAGUAGGUGGCAGGCCACUUACCUCACUUUCUAUUGUGGCCUAUUAGAGCAGCAUGGGAGGUAUGUAUAUUUUAUUUACAUAGAACACAUUCCAAUAGUGAGGAGUUACAGUAUGUGCUGCCAGCAUGCAGUGUAUGUAUAUUUUAGUUACUGCAAACAAUGUAUUAAAUGGUUAUAGCACCUAUAGUAUCCCUUUAACACGUUACAGGCUAUGAUGGUUGAGUAGACACAGCAGUCAUACAGAUCUUGUUUGUUAUUCCCAACAAUUAUCGCUUUUAAAAAAGCCCAUAUUGAGGAUAAUAUUCUAGGAAACUCCAUCAUUCAUUGCUAAGAAAUCAGCCAUGACAGUACAAUGGGGAUUUAGAAAUACUUCCUGUGAGCUAUAUCAUAUCUGUAAGAAGCAGAGCAAGAUGUGGUGAAAGAAAGGAUAUUAAGAGUUAAGUUCCUUACUAGAUCCAGGGCACGCGAUACAUAAUAAUAGAACACGCAAUGGCUGAUAGAGAAAGCGUGUAUUGUAAAAAUAUACAUCCAUGAAGGGGUUGUGGAGACAUCGUAAUAGAAUCAGAAGGCAAAGCGUUAUUUUUCUAUUACAUUAAAUGACAAUAUAUAAUCAAGGUUUGGGCUACAGUUCCUUUAACAUAGGAAAAGUAAAAAUUAACUUUUCCCUUACAAAUAUACAACUAUUGUUUCUAUAACCUUAGGGACAUACAUGCCCCGGUCUGCCUAAAAAUUGGCAGGACUUACACGCUUAGGCAGGAGCUGCUGUUGUCUCAGGCACAGCCCUCCCCAGUUUGUAUAUGGCAGUACCUGGCAUGCCCCCUUCCCCCCCCCCAGUUAAAGCUUGCACAGUUCAUUCAUCACCCCCCAAACCUCCACUGGCACCAGUUUAUAUCCCGCACUGUACCCCUGGCCCCAGUUUGUAUAUGACACAGUCCCCCUCUCCCCUAGUUUGUAUAACACAGUCCCCUCUCCCCCAGUUUGUAUAUCUCCUUCCUUGUCCAGUUUCUGCCCUAAUCAACCUCUUCAGUAUGUGCCUGUCCCAUCAACCUUUUUUAAAUAGAGCACUCCAAUUAAAAAUAAAUACAUUAAAUUAUUUUUAGUUCUUUUUCUGAUAACAGUCAUAAUGACCGUGUUUUAAUUGGGAGAGAAACACCUAACAAUGUAGCAAUAGUGCACAGGAGGUGUAUGGCCGCCCUAUUUCUCUAGAAGAGCCUUAGUCCUUGAAAUGCUGCCAUACACAUCAUAAAAUGUGUCAUCAAAUAUUGUAUCAUUCAUAAAGGUAUUAUAAAGGUUCAAUGAUGUUUAGAUCUGAAGAUUAGAAGGCCAUGAAGAAGCUUGAGUUCAACUCACUCUAGAAUUCUGGGUAUUAGCAUGUACAUGGAAACGUCAAGCAUUAAUAGUGUUGGAACUGUGGGCUGUAACAUGUUCUGUAAAAAGGUCUCAACUAUGCCGCACUGUAGCUAUUCACAUCUCUAAGAACUGACCAUUUGUUUAAAAAAUAAAAAGACAGUGGGGCUGAAGUCAUAUUGAGGCUUUUCCAAUAUAAAAAAAAUAAAUUAAUAAUAAUAAUAAAAAAUAAAAAAAAAUCACAUUAUCAUGCAGAUAAGAGGAUGAAGGAUGAUUCAUUACUUCUCCCUCCUCGGCCCAGGGUCCAUAAGCGAUUUCAGCCCUGUCAAUCAUCACUGUGUUCGAAACACAGACGGGUGGAUUCCAUUGUGUUAUAUUUCAUUGGUAAUUUUCCUACUUUGAGGCUAUAUUUAGUGUCCCUUAACAGUAAUCCUGUUAAGAGUCACCUUUGCAGCAGCAUUUGUAAGUAAUAUUUAAUUACUUUAAAUUUAAACUCCAUUUCUGUAUGACAUUUCUGUUAGUUUAUCCAAUCCAUUUAAAAGGCUAAAAGGCAAGAGAUGAUUCUACCUCGAACUGAACGACAAUGGAUUAUGAGAUGGUGCUAGUGCUACAGUUGAUGCAAUAACAGAGUUAUCCAUAUUCCUAAAUCAUGGACAUAUUUUUAGGUACAAAUUGAAAUCUCCCACCAUGGUUGUGUGUGUGUAGCACAUAGUUUAGCUGCGGAUGGAGCCUGACACUGUCCUGUACAGGGUAAAACAAACAUUAUCUGGGCAAUUCCAGAAUAAUCAAUAGAGGAACUGCUAGAACUGGAAUUCCAGCUCAAAAGGUAUUACAAUCUAAAUACAUAAUAUGUCAGGGAUUCAGCUCCAGCUAUUGAUUCUAAAAUCUGUUCAGGUCAAGCUCUGGUCAUUUCACCAUAUCUCACUGUCCCAAAGAAAGCAACGUUGCCUUUAAAGGACAGAAUUCUGAUGGACAACAAAAUAAAAAAAAAGUGAAAAAAAAUUUAAUUCAAAAACAACAAAAAAAUGCAUAAAGAAUAUAUAAACUGAAGACAACGUGUGCUGGGCCCCAGCCACCCCCUCUUCAAUUUGAAAGCUCCAGCACAAAGUCACUGAACCAGCAGGGAGUGUAAUGCCCCCCCUGCUAGGGGCCACAGGUAAAAGGCAAAGGAGGGGGGGAUAAAAACUAAAAAUGAUAUUUUUUUUUAUAAGUAUUUAAACAAUAUAAUAAUUAUAUAAAAUUACAAUAAAAAAAAGCUUUUAGCCCAUGGAAUGGAUUAGUCAUAUAAUCCUACCCCACAUAUUUACACACACACACUGCAUCCACUCUACUCACACUGCAUCCACUCUACUCACACACACCGCAUCCACUAUACUCACACACACACACACCGCCUCCACUAUACUCACACACAAACACUGUACCCACUAUACUCACACACAGACACUGCAUCCACUAUACUCACACACACACUGCAUCCACUAUACGCACACACAGACACCGCAUCCACUCUACUCACACACAGACACUACAUCCACUCUACUCACACACACACAGACACUGCAUCCACUCUACUCACACACACACAGACACUGCAUCCACUCUCCUCACACACAGACACUGCAUCCACUCUACUCACACACAGACACUGCAUCCACUCUACUCACACACAGACACUGCAUCCACUCUACUCACACACAGUGGUGUAUUCACUGUGAGGUGUGUGUCUGUCAGCUAGUGUAUGUGUCUGUCUGUCAAUGUGUGUGUCAGACACAAAGUGUAUAUAUGUCUGUCAGUGAGUGUUGUAUAUAUGUGUUUGUCAAUGUGUAACUGUCAGUGAGCAUAUGUGUGUCCCAGUGUGUGUCUGACACUGAGUGAGUGUGCAUCUGUCAGUGAGUGUGUAUGCAUUUCUCUCAGCGAGUGUGCAUGUGUGUCUUGUCAGUGAGUGUGUAUGCAUCUGUCGGUGAAUGUGUGUCUGUCAGUGAAUGUAACUGUGAAUGAGUGAGUGCGUACGUCUGUGAAUGUGUGUGUUUUUCAGUGAAAGUGUGUGCGGGUUAAACAGUGUGUGUGACAAUGACUGUGUAUCUGUAAGGGAGUGUAUGUCAGUGCAUGCAUCAGUGAGGGUGUGGGUCUGUCAGGAAGAGAAAUUUGGAGGGGGGGUGCCAGAGUUUUGUUAUGCCUAAGGCAGCACAAAACCAGAAUACACCACUGCUCACGCACACACACUGCAUCCACUAUACUCACACACAGCGGUGUAUUUACCGCGAGGCUGACAAGUUAUUUGUCUUGGGCGGCAUUUCCAGGGCCUGGCAAAUGCUUUGCCAGCCUCUUGUCCAUGAAUGGGCCCCCCCCCCCAAGGCUGGCAUGCGCAUAUGUUGCGGUGUGUGCGAGGGAGCACUGUCCCCUGAGCUCUCCCCUGUUCAGUGUUAGUGUUUGUGUCUAGUGAGUGUGAGUGUGUGUCUGUCAGUCUGUGUAUGCGUGCGUCAGUGUGUGUAUGCGUGUCUGUCAGAUCUUUAAAAAUUAUAUUGAUCGAUCCCUACUUUGAAUUCAAAUUGAAUUUUACCGCUAAUCCACGCUUUAGUUUCAGAUGAAUAGAUGACAAUUCAAAGUGAAUUUGACAUUUUAAAGGAAAGCUCUAAACACCUAAAGCACUUUUUUAACAUAUCAGCUAUACCUCACUGAUUAUAUAUAUUUCCAAAAUGCAAAACAGGAACGGCACUCACCAAACAAAAAGGAUCAACAAUGUGGUGCUAUACAAACUAGGGAGAUUACCAAUCCCUCACAGCAAUCCAAAAUAAAUAGAUGUCUGGGCACACAUGGGAUCUAUCCAAUAUGCAGACUUUAUUACAGUAGAGCAGGACUGCUUUAGUCCAAUAAGGUCUGCAUAUUGGAUAGAUCCUGUCUGUGCCCAGACAUCUAUUUCUUACUUUGGUAUACCUCACUGACAAGGCCUAACAAGGCAGAAACGAUUGUCUGGGGUUGCUAUAUAUCUUGUGCAGAGGAAGCCAUCCUGUGUUUUGGAUUUGUAACACCCUUGUGGGUAGAAUCAGUCUCAUAUGCACGAUUUAGGUUCUCUUUGUAAUGGCACAGGAUGAGCCGAAACCCGCUUGAGAACGCAGCAAGGACCCAUCAAAGGGAAAGCUAUUUGAGUCGUUGUCCACUCUCAGUAUUCUCUUGCACCCUGUUUUUGGCUCUGCCUAUAAAUAAAAAUGUGUUACACCAUCCAGACUGUCAAUCGGACAACAAGUCCUCUUACUUCCUGUUACUCAAGAGGCAGGAAAUUGCCCAGAGCACCUGCCUUGCAAAGACUUCUCACUAAGCUGCACUGGGAAGCCUGUAGACGAGACCUGCAACUUUUGCAAGCUGUGUUUAGAUAUACCCUGUAACAGCACCCCCAGGCAUAAAAGGGGUUAAACCGCCAUUUAGUAGAUCUUCCCUUCCAGAGACACAGGCACAGCUACUGCAGAACACCAAACUCCCGAACUGAAUACAAGGGGAUGCUCCAAACUCCCGAACUGCAUACAAAGUAGCACUCCAAACUCCCCAACUGGAUCCUCACGAAUAUCUGCUAGCAGACGAACAGGAAAAGCACCCAAGCGGCUUACACUCCUGGCAAUCAGUCUCUAACAGCAUACAGUAAAUCCCCCCAAAAACGAGACAGAGCUCCGUGUUGAGGGUCAAGCAGUGGUCUGGUUUUAAUGGGGCUACCUGCCCGGUAUUUAUGCAGGUCUUCCACCUGGUGGACACUCCCCUAGGGGACCAGAUGGAAGACUGGGACACAAAUGGUAAAAUGACCAAUCACAGGCAUACAGGGUUAAAACACUCCCACAGUACAUUACAAUCCCUCCCCUCUAUCCUGGAGAUAAUUGGGAAGUAAUCCAAUUAUCUCCAAGGACAGAGGCAAAACUCCAUUAACCACAUGGUUACAAUAAAACACUAAAAUACAAUAAAAUACAUAAUGUUACAUUUGUCACAUAAAAUAUAUACAUGUAACCCAUCCCCAGAUAGCUGGGAUCUGAGCGCACAAAAGUACCGAAUAGCGCUCAGAUCCUAUGCACACAGUCCAAUCGCCGUGGAGUCAAAGUGUUCACAAAGUCUGUUCUCCAUACGAAUAGACUCCAUGGGAUGGCUAUCUGGGGUAUGGCUUAUUCGUGGACACAAUACCGAAUGCAGGGACGUUCGUGAGUUUUUACCGAAGGAGAAGUGAGGUCGGCGGCUUCAGCGGUGUUCGUGACAAAUAGUGUCCGUUUUGAAUUCCAUGAGUUUGGGCGCUGAAACCGCUGGCCGUUCGGGACUUUAAAACGGCCGACGCCACGUGUUCGGCAAACGAACAAAGGCCACCCAGCAUUAAUCAAUUAAGCUGCGGUUAACCGCAGCUUCUGAGAGGUAAAUUGCCAACACACUCCCAAUACAGGUGGUCCAGUGAUUCGGUUGUUUGUUCGGUAGAUUGAAUCUACCGAACUCCGGGCAGAAAGGCACGAACAAGCCUUUUCUGCAGGGGAAAAGAAGGCUUUUUAACAUGGGGCCAUAGUCCAAGGGCAACAGGUUUCGCCACAUACCCCAAGUGAAAAAAAUUCAGCAAUAAAUGCUGGCAUGUUUUAUCCACUAAAUAGUGUUUUCAUUUUUUAUUUUUAUUUUUUAUUUAGGCAGUGGAGUGUCCCUUUGAGCCAAAACAGUCAGACUGGAAACUUGGAUUACUUGGAAAAUGUCCCAAUUCAUCUACUGUGAUUAAAACUGGAAUUUAACUUAGAAUUCACUUUGAACUCCCAACAAAAAUCUAAUUUUAUGAAUAACCUUGAGUGUAGCUGGAGUUAAAAAUAAGGACUAUCUUCGUCACGCUCCGCACUGCCCUCGGGCGAUACGUCUGGAAUGGGAAACGACCAAGACUCAGACAUACCCUAUUAACGCUACCGAAGGAUAGAGGAGGCCUGGCAUUGCCGGACUUCACUCUCUAUUAUAGGUCCUGUCACUUCCUCCGGAUAAUAGAAUGGUCCAAACAAGGGGUGCAGAAGCAAUGGAAACAAGCAGAAGUCGAGGCAGGUGUCCCAGUCGCGGUCCUGCCAUGGCUGCCUCCCGGGAUCGGGAGCAAGGGGAGGAAAUGCUCCCCAUACAUCAAGGCUACUCUGCAAGAGUGGCACUGCACAAAGGAUAGACACGAGCUAGCACCGUACCCAUCGCCCCUUCUCCCACUAAUACACAACCCAAACUUUCCACCGGGACUGGACCCAAGGGCUUUCCACGCGCUGAUCCAAGACCCAAUCCCCAGACUUAGCCACGUCUAUACGGCAAAUGGCCUCAAGACACUCAGGGACUUGAGGGGAGACGCAGACUUUAACCUCCUGAUACGCCUAAAACACAAACAACUCCAGAGCUACAUAGCAACUCUCCCACAGGGGCCCAUUUUAUCGAGAGCUCCCACAUACUUUGAAGACAUAUGCCUACACCCAGACCCGUUAACCCACGGAGUCUCCCUCAUGUACACAUCACUUCUGACUCAAACACCAAUAGCACAACCAAGCUUUAUGGGGAAAUGGGAGGCAGCACUGGGUCGUACGAUUAAUAAGGCAGACUGGGAAAAAAUUUGCUAUCUCACGCACCAUUGCUCUAGCUUCAGCAAGACGCAGGAAACAGCAUACAAACUACUGACACACUGGUACUGCACCCCCGCGGCACUACACGAACAUAUCCCAGAAUACCCCCCAGUGUGCUGGAGAUGCGGAGAGGGGACGGGCACGCUUCUACACAUCUGGUGGGAAUGCAACAAAAUCGCACCGUUCUGGAAAGCCAUACACAAAAUUAUAGGGCAACUCUCAGACGACCCACCCCCAUUCGGCCCAGCAGAAAUGCUUCUACACCUCACUAAGGUCCCUAGGACCAUAUAUAAGAAAUCACUGACGAUCCGCAUACUAAACGUAGCUAAAGCUACCAUACCACAACACUGGAAACAGCAGACCACUCCGCCACUGAAAACUUGGUUCACCCAAAUGGAGGAGUUGAGGUCCUUAGAAGAACUCCACGCCACAGCGAAUAACACACACCAAACCUAUCUCAAUAUAUGGACGCACUGGCUACUGAAGUCGACACAACCAGGCUUCCUGGGCGAGACACAGGCCCAACAAUAGAGACUGGACUAACGCUACACCAAGAGGCGGACACCUGACACCGACAGAACCUAGACCCCUAUCCCGAUACCCCCCCACCACGACAUACCCAUCCCGACCACCUUAACACACGAGUAAAAGGUACCCUGGAUUUGGCAGGGAUCGCCUAGUACUGCAUGGAUUAGGGCGACUUGGAGACCACACAUGGUGGACAUCCGCCAUGUAGGCAGACGGUUCACGACCAUAGUAAAGUAGGGGAGAGGACGGACAAUUAUCAUGGAACGCAUGGGGACGGGGAGGUAUCACGUCCAAGUUUAGGUUUUCAACUAGCAGUUUAAGCUAGGAGACUGAUGAACUGAGUAUAUCAUGAGUUGUCUGUUCCUCAACUGCUUGUUCCAAACAGUGUAUAAAAUACCAUCGCAAGAGGGACCUGCGAGUCCACAUUGUCUAUGGGGCCUGCGAGCCCGCACUGCUACCCAACCUUACAAUGUCGCUGAUUUACUCUAUGCCCUCACUAAGUAUGGACCUGCGAGUCCAAAUGAAGUAGGACUGCCUCGAUUUGAAAAAUGAAAAUAAAAAUCAUAUUUACAAAAAAAAUAAAAAAUAAGGACUAUGUCUGCAAACUUGGGAAAGUUGUCAGAUAUGCAUCGGUAUUCUGACUGAUUACUAGUCCUGUCCCCAUAGAGAGAGAAGCCAUAGAUCUAAUUGUCAGUGUUACUUUUGCUGCUUCAAGGAAUUGCAGACUUGCUGAUCUGUCAACAGCAAAUCCUACAAACCUGAUACAUUAAAAAAGCUGAAAUACUGGUGUACAGCUGCCUGUUCUUUUUGUCAAAGUAAUGGAGUUUAUAUACAUGUACCAUGACAAAUGGCUGGGAUAACUGGUUGUGAAGGCUGACUGUUAGUGCUGUGCAAUCCAAUAGUUUUUUUUAUUUUUUAUUUCAGCCUCUUUUUGUGAUGGCAAAACCAAACCUCAAGAACGAAAUAACCAGAGAUUAGCAGGACUGUCCAUAUUACUGGUCAGUGGAAUUGCUCGGAUUAAAGACAGAAUAGUCUGAUAACAAGCCAUGGUCAAUGAGUGCAGAGGAAAGGAUAAACGACAAGACAAAAGAAAACAAAAGGUCAAGGAAUGGAGAAAUUUGAGAAAACAGAAUAAAGCAGAUAAAGCAAGGAACGCACUAUUGGGUCAAGGAAAACCGCAGAU